CCUACGGGUGGCAGCAGUGAGGAAUAUUGGUCAAUGGACGAGAGUCUGAACCAGCCAAGUAGCGUGAAGGAUGACUGCCCUAUGGGUUGUAAACUUCUUUUAUAUGGGAAUAAAAUGUUCCACGUGUGGGAUUUUGUAUGUACCAUAUGAAUAAGGAUCGGCUAACUCCGUGCCAGCAGCCGCGGUAAUACGGAGGAUCCGAGCGUUAUCCGGAUUUAUUGGGUUUAAAGGGAGCGUAGGUGGAUUGUUAAGUCAGUUGUGAAAGUUUUGGGGUCAACCGUAAAAUUGCAAUUGAAACUGGCAGUCUUGAGUACAGUAGAGGUGGGCGGAAUACGUGGUGUAGCGGUGAAAUGCAUAGAUAUCACGAAGAACUCCGAUUGCGAAGGCAGUUCACUGGACUGCAACUGACACUGAGGCUCGAAAGUGUGGGUAUCAAACAGGAUUAGAUACCCUGGUAGUC
rnacentral:rRNA from 1 species